GUUUCUAUAUUGGGUUCUGGCCAAACCCAUUACCCGGUUUUUAUGUUCUAUUGAUUCGCCUAAGCCAUCUCUUAGGCGAAUCAAUGACCAAGUCGGCUUCUGGAUAGUUUGCAACCAAUAAAAGCACUAACAGGAGAGUGACAAGGAAAGGGUUCUGAAAGAAGUUGUGAAUUGUUGUUGGAAAUAUGAGUUCUGAAGCUUUACAUGCUGUGAAAGUGUACCGACAGCUUCUAAACGCUAUCAAGAAACAUAUUGGCCAGGAAGAUUACAAGAAGCAUUUUGGAGAAUUUGUAAUGUUAGAAUUCCGAAAGAACACCAAUCUCUUUGAUCAUUCUGCCAUUGAGCAAAAAAUCAAGCUUGCCCGCGACUAUACUUUUCUGCUUAAUAGUGUGCACCAUCACAAGAUACUCUUCUCUUUCAUUGCCCUGGGUUACGAUGGAGUAAAAUGUUCUACAUUGCAUGCUUGAAGGUAUUGUCUUUACUGUGGCACAAUGAAAUGAGUUUGGUUUUUCCAUUAGAUUGACAAUACAAAUUUCCUUUAAACAAUCAAGAGAUUGUGAAAAGUCAAUAGUCGGGACUCCUUUUUGGUAUGUAAUGUAGGUUUUUUCUUUCUUUUGAGGGGAAUGUGAUGAGUGAUGUAGUCCUCCUAGGAAUUUGUUCUUUCUUGGUGCAUGUCUUAUGUUCUCUGUUCCUGCCUGCAAUAAUAGUUUAUGCUCUCCAAUUCCUUAAUUUA